UUAGCAGGGAUCAAUUUAUAUGGCAAAGGCUCAGAAGUGAUCAUUGCAUAAAUUUCUCUGCUUUACAGAACACAUGGACUGAUCAGCUUGACUCCUAUUCUUCUUAAAAUGUCUCUCAACAUCAUCAAAUACCUGCAUAUAGAAGAAUUCAAGUUAAUUUUAUACUGUUAUUGAGAUCCGCAGAAAUUAUAUCCAGUGAUGUAAACAGCCACAAAUUCUAUCCAAAGACCCAGGGUAUUUUUAACAGUGAGCUGCAGAAGAGUAAAUCCCUGGCCAGUUAACAGUGUUGAAAUGACCGAACAGCCUCUCUCUUGAAAAACAAGGCUAAUGGUCUGUGGGAAUUCUGGGAAGGUGGUAGAGAAGCAUCAGGUGUUAUAGGAGAAAAGGCCUUCAAUUGUCUUAAGGUACGUGAGAAUUCAGUAACUGUUCCAGAGGUUGUUUAUGGUAUUUUAGUAUUGGAGUCCCUGUCAUCAUUUUUUCUGCCUGGCUUCAUUCCCAACCUUCUAGGCCUUUUCCACUUCAAACAUUUUCUACACACUUCUCAGCAUUAUUUUGCUUUCUGAGAACUCUGACUAUGUCAAUCCAGCUUCUCAAAGACCCCUCGAAUGCUUUUCUUCACUCUUUAGCUUGACUGCUGACUGCUACCUUCAAAACUCUCUAAC
rnacentral:lncRNA from 1 species